rnacentral:rRNA from 1 species
GACGAACGCUGGCGGCGUGCCUAAUACAUGCAAGUAGAACGCUGAAGGAGGAGCUUGCUUCUCCGGAUGAGUUGCGAACGGGUGAGUAACGCGUAGGUAACCUGCCUGGUAGCGGGGGAUAACUAUUGGAAACGAUAGCUAAUACCGCAUAAGAGUAGAUGUCGCAUGACAUUUGCUUAAAAGGUGCAACUGCACCACUACCAGAUGGACCUGCGUUGUAUUAGCUAGUUGGUGAGGUAACGGCUCACCAAGGCAACGAUACAUAGCCGACCUGAGAGGGUGAUCGGCCACAAUGGGACUGAGACACGGCCCAGACUCCUACGGGAGGCAGCAGUAGGGAAUCUUCGGCAAUGGACGGAAGUCUGACCGAGCAACGCCGCGUGAGUGAAGAAGGUUUUCGGAUCGUAAAGCUCUGUUGUAAGAGAAGAACGAGUGUGAGAGUGGAAAGUUCACACUGUGACGGUAUCUUAACAGAAAGGGACGGCUAACUACGUG